CCACGGGAUUCGGGUGCCGUCACCUCUGUCAGGUUGCAAUCUGUUGCCCAUCGGGCCUCGCAAAACCGAUCUUAUAUGUUCCUUCAGCCCCUAAAACGAGGAUCCCCAGCUGCUGCGAUAUUGAUCACAUCUCAAGGCUUAUUUAUCGAGAGCUAGCAUUUGUGGAAGCGAAAUGUCCAGCACAUUCGCAGACCUGCUUCCAUUCCAUCUACAUAUCCGCCCAUUACUUCUUUCUUUGCCUAAAAAUGAUUGUCAGUAUUCCUUUCCGGUAGGUGUCUAUAUCCCUUGCCAGUGAUUAAACAGAACUGGUCUAUCACCGACUCGGAUUCGAAGUACACAGAGACGCAGCUCAAAACCCCUUUCCAAUUUUGCUUGAUUGUUCGACUGAGAUGGAUGAUGUUAACCAUUCCCACUCCUCUUCCAAUCACUCGAACUGGGAGGCAACGGGUAACCACUUUCGUACUUUGGGAUAAAACCUGGACAACGGACGACAAUGCGACCUAAACUGGAGCUGUCUCUGGCGUGUGCAAGGCUAGUCACCAGAUGUGUAUAUUGAAGCUUUAUCGCCUCAGCGUAUUCCGUAAUAUGCGC
rnacentral:sRNA from 2 species